rnacentral:rRNA from 1 species
GACAGCAGUCGCCACGGUAACACGUAGGUGGCAAGCGUUGUCCGGAAUUAUUGGGCGUAAAGGGCUCGCAGGCGGUUCCUUAAGUCUGAUGUGAAAGCCCCCGGCUCAACCGGGGAGGGUCAUUGGAAACUGGGAGACUUGAGUGCAGAAGAGGAGAGUGGAAUUCCACGUGUAGCGGUGAAAUGCGUAGAGAUGUGGAGGAACACCAGUGGCGAAGGCGACUCUCUGGUCCGUAGCUGACGCUGAGGAGCGAAAGCGUGGGGGGCGAACAGGAUUAGAUACCCCUGUAGUCCCUGUCUCUUAUAC